rnacentral:rRNA from 1 species
AGGAUGAACGCUGGCGGCGUGCCUAAGACAUGCAAGUCGAGUGGGUUUAGGCCCACGGCGAACGGGUGAGUAAUACCUAGGAACUUUCUUUAAGUGGAGCAUAACCCAUAGAAAUGUGGGAUAAUACUUCAUGUGGCAGUAAUGCUAAAGUCGCAAGACGCUUAAAGUGAGGCCUGGGCACCAUCAGCUAGUUGGUAAGGUAAUGGCUUACCAAGGCUAUGACGGUUAGGGGCCCCGAGAGGGGAAACCCCCACACUGGAACUGCGACACGGUCCAGACUCCUACGGGAGGCAGCAGUUUGGAAUUUUGGACAAUGGGCGAAAGCCUGAUCCAGCGACGCCGCGUGGACGAUGAAGGCCUUCGGGUCGUAAAGUCCUUUUGCUCGGGAACAAUAAUUUGAGCGUACCGAGAGAAUAAGAGGUUGCUAACUCUGUGCCAGCAGCCGC